AUGUCAUCCACUGUUACUUCAUAUAUUGGAAUUAUUGUAACAUCAUUGCUACAUCAUAAAUGACAGUACUAUGUCACAAUGAUGUUACACGUUCUGCUGUUUUAUGGCAUCAUCCAUCACUAUUUCAUACUUCAGAACUAUUGUGACAUCAUUGCUAUGGCAUAUUGAUGUCACAUUCUGAUAACAUUCUGAGACAUCAUCCAUUAUAUCAUAUGGACAAAUCUUUUUUGAUUUCAGUAAUUGUUAUGUCAUGAUAACAUCAUGCUUGUGAGACCAUGACAUCAUCCCUAGUUCAUACUUUGCAACAUUUAGAGUCAAAAUAAUAGGUUGAAGGAUUUAAAUGUGUAUUUUAAAUUAUGACAUAAAAAUGUCCCAUUCCUGGAUUUUGACUCAUGGGGAGUGGAUCAAAGUUUGCUGUCGAUAGAUCAAAUGGUCCAAAUGGUGUGGGAACCCAAGUGGAACAAAAAGAUAGAAAGAAAACCAAAAUGUGCCCUAUCCUUUGGGACAAUUUUGAUUUUGUAUCCACAAGGUCAUGAGAAAUCAUCCUGUCUCCUUGAUCUUUGUAAAUUUCAUGGUAUAGAGCUAAAGAUUUUUUUGAAGCUUCCUUUUGAAUUUUUGCUCUUUUCAGUCAAAAUGGUCAUAUAAUAUGGAUAUUUCCCAAUAAAUUUUCUGCAUCUACAGGACUUAAAGGAACUUCCAGUUUUUCAUAGGCUACC
rnacentral:lncRNA from 1 species